GACGAACGCUGGCGGCGUGCUUAACACAUGCAAGUCGAACGGAGAGGCCCCGCCCUUGUGGGGGGCUCGAGUGGCGAGCGGAAGAGUAACACGUGACUAACCUACCCUUGCCUUUGGUAUAGCUUCAGGGAACUGAGGCUUAUACCGGAUAGGAGCUCCUGGUGCAUUGUGGGGGUUGGAAAGUUUCGGCGGUUGGGUAUGGACGCGCGGCUUAUCAGCUCGUUGGUGGGGUAGGUGCUUACGAAGGCUUUGACGGGUAGCCGGCCUGAGUGGGUGAGCGGCCACAGUGGGACUGAGAUGCGGCGCAGAAGCCUAGGGGAGGCAGCAGUGGGGAAUAGUGUGCAGUGGCGGGGAGGCUGAUGCAGCGACGCCGGGUGCGGGAUGACGGUCUUCGGGUUGUGAACCGCGUUCGCCUGGGACGUAGCGGGAUUGACGGUAACGGGUAAAGAAGCACCGGCUAACUACGUG
rnacentral:rRNA from 1 species